UACGUAGGGAGCAAGCGUUGUUCGGAUUUACUGGGCGUAAAGGGCGCGUAGGCGGCAACUCAAGUCAUCUGUGAAAUCUCCGGGCUUAACUCGGAACGGUCAGAUGAUACUGUUUUGCUAGAGUGCAGAAGGGGCAAUCGGAAUUCUUGGUGUAGCGGUGAAAUGCGUAGAUAUCAAGAGGAACACCUGAGGUGAAAGACGGGUUGCUGGGCAGUAACUGACGCUGGAGGAGCGAAAAGCCGUGGGGGAGCGAA
rnacentral:rRNA from 1 species